AUUAUUUUAAGCUAUAUAUUAGGAGUAAAUAAAAUUUAUGAAAUUAAAAAAUUUUGGCGGUAUUUUAAGCUUAUUAGAGGAAUUUGCUCUGUGAUGGACACAACGCCUUAAUCUUACUUAAUUUAGUAAUUUAAAUCAGUUUGUAUACCACUAUAUUAAUUAUAUUGAAUAGUUAUAUUUAAUAUUUUUUUUAAAAAAAUAUAUUAAGUCAAGGUGCAUCUAAUAAUUAUGAAUGAAGUGAAUUACAUUAAUUUUAAUGUAUUUUUUACAUGAAAAAAUUAAUUAGGAUUUAAUAGUAAAAUACUAAUAUUAUGAGUAUUUGAAUCAAGCUCUAAAAUAUGCAC
rnacentral:rRNA from 1 species